AACGAACGCUGGCGGCAUGCCUAACACAUGCAAGUCGAACGAGACCUUCGGGUCUAGUGGCGCACGGGUGCGUAACGCGUGGGAACCUGCCCUUAGGUUCGGAAUAACUCCCCGAAAGGGGUGCUAAUACCGGAUAAUGUCUUCGGACCAAAGAUUUAUCGCCUUUGGAUGGGCCCGCGUUGGAUUAGCUAGUUGGUAGGGUAAAAGCCUACCAAGGCGACGAUCCAUAGCUGGUCUGAGAGGAUGAUCAGCCACACUGGGACUGAGACACGGCCCAGACUCCUACGGGAGGCAGGAGUGGGGAAUAUUGGACAAUGGGCGAAAGCCUGAUCCAGCAAUGCCGGGUGAGUGAUGAAGGCCUUAGGGUUGAAAAGCUCUUUUACCCGGGAUGAUAAUGACAGUACCGGGAGAAUAAGCCCCGGCUAACUCCGU
rnacentral:rRNA from 1 species